CAGCUGAUCACAAAUGCCAACUGUGUGUCUUGGGGCCAGUUAAGCCCUCUCAUCUGCCCAGGCUCUCUGGAGACCAUUUCAUUGCUCUCAAGGUUCCCAAGAGACGGCUGCGGACGUGGACCAUCCCCCCACUCAGCCCGCACGGAUGGGAGGCUGAGCGGCGUCCUUAAAGUGCUCUUUCUCACCUCGAGUUUGCAUGGUAGACUGUAAUAAUUCCGAAUUUGGAGACAGACAGAUGUAUUUUUGCCCCCUCAUGUCAAAAAGAAGGACUGUUAGCUAAGUGAUUAGCCCUAGGUGGGAAAAGAAUCGUUUCUAAGCAGAAUGCUAACUUUUUGAGGAAGUCUCUGGAAGUUCUAAAGACCCACCCCAUCCCAUGACCUUUAAUUCUUUUUAGUUCUUCUGCCACAGGGAAGCAGCCAGCGGCUAAUAAAAGAUUUGAUCUUGCCAUAAUUUACCAAGCAGGACAUCUUCUGGAAGGUGUAAAGAGUAACCCUAUGAAAGGCAUGGCUGAAUCUUAAUACAGAGCUGAAGACCAAGCGUGAAUUUUAUUACAUCACCAUUAGUACUAUUACCAUGUGAGGUUGUAAGAAUACAUGGUCCUCUGCAGUGGAAAAUGCACUAAAUGAUAAAGUCCCUCCCCUGAAGAACCAACAAAUUAAAGCUCUCUUGGCAAACAGUAUUCUACUCUCUGAGGUCUGUGAGUUCAGCUCUUAAAAAUUCUACCUGGAAAUUUGAAGACAGAGAAGCGCACACAGAGAACACCAUGUGAAGAUGAAGACAGAGAUAGAAGUGAUGCUCCCUCAACUCAAAGAAUGCCAGAGAUGUCCAGCAAAAUACCAGAAGCUGGCAGGGAGGCAUGGAACACAUCAUCCUCACAGUCCUUAGACGGAACCAAUCCUACCGACAUCUUGACCUUGGAUGUCUACCCUCUAGAACUGUGAAACACAAAAUUUCUAUUGUUAAAGCCAUCCAGUUUGUGAUAUACUAAAAGACAGAAGCAUCUUUGGUCCCUGAGUCACCACUUGGAGGGGAGCUGGUCAGGAGACCUGCCUAAAUCUGCAUCAGACUCUGGCCUGAAUGAAAAAUAAACAGAAAUUCCAA